rnacentral:rRNA from 1 species
CACGUAGGGCGCAAGCGUUGUCCGGAAUUAUUGGGCGUAAAGAGCUCGUAGGCGGCUCAGUAAGUCGGGUGUGAAACCUCCAGGCUCAACCUGGAGACGCCACCUGAUACUGCUGUGGCUAGAGUCCGGUAGGGGAGCGUGGAAUUCCUGGUGUAGCGGUGAAAUGCGCAGAUAAUCAGGAGGAACACCGGUGGCGAAGGCGGUUCUCGUGGGCCUUACCUGACGCUGAGGAGCGAAAGCCGUGGGGAGCAAACAG